ACCGAUUGCUGGGGGAGCUUCCUUUGGGAGGCUGAGAGUAUGCCGGAUAGGCCGGUAGAGACCCCUUGAACCUGUUGGAUAAUCCCAACGCAGGGAAGCAAUCCGUGACCCGC
rnacentral:ncRNA from 1 species